rnacentral:rRNA from 1 species
CCUACGUGCGACAGCAGUGAGGAAUAUUGGUCAAUGGGCUUACGCCUGAACCAGCCAAGUCGCGUGAGGGAAGACUGCCCUAUGGGUUGUAAACCUCUUUUGUCAGGGAGCAACGCCGGCUACGUGUAGCCGGACUGAGAGUACCUGAAGAAAAAGCAUCGGCUAACUCCGUGCCAGCAGCCGCGGUAAUACGGAGGAUGCGAGCGUUAUCCGGAUUUAUUGGGUUUAAAGGGUGCGUAGGCGGAAUGCCAAGUCAGCGGUAAAAUCGCGGGGCUCAACCUCGCUCCGCCGUUGAAACUGGCGUUCUUGAGUGGGCGAGAAGUAUGCGGAAUGCGUGGUGUAGCGGUGAAAUGCAUAGAUAUCACGCAGAACUCCGAUUGCGAAGGCAGCAUACCGGCGCCCAACUGACGCUGAAGCACGAAAGCGUGGGUAUCGAACAGGAUUAGAUACCCGGGUAGUC